rnacentral:lncRNA from 1 species
UUGAGUUUUUCGGUAAAGCUGAAAAGAAGGAAGGAGGGGUUUGGUUUCUUCAAAGUUGCUACUAACCAAACAUUUGACCUUUGGUUGAUAUUAGUACUUGGAAUAUGUGAUUCAUUGAUUAAUUAAUUUGAAUUUAUUUAUUUAUUUAAAAAAUAAAAUCUGGACAAUUAAUUUCGAAAAUGACACUAAAGACCUUUAAAUUAGAGAUUUUAAAAUGUUUAUCGAGG